GAUGAACGCUGGCGGCGUGCCUAAUACAUGCAAGUCGAGCGAACGGACGAGAAGCUUGCUUCUCUGAUGUUAUCGGCGGACGGGUGAGUAACACGUGGAUAACCUACCUAUAAGACUGGGAUAACUUCGGGAAACCGGAGCUAAUACCGGAUAAUAUUUUGAACCGCAUGGUUCAAAAGUGAAAGACGGUCUUGCUGUCACUUAUAGAUGGAUCCGCGCUGCAUUAGCAAGUUGGUAAGGUAACGGCUUACCAAGGCAACGAUGCAUAGCCGACCUGAGAGGGUGAUCGGCCACACUGGAACUGAGACACGGUCCAGACUCCUACGGGAGGCAGCAGUAGGGAAUCUUCCGCAAUGGGCGAAAGCCUGACGGAGCAACGCCGCGUGAGUGAUGAAGGUCUUCGGAUCGUAAAACUCUGUUAUUAGGGAAGAACAUAUGUGUAAGUAACUGUGCACAUCUUGACGGUACCUAAUCAGAAAGCCACGGCUAACUACGUG
rnacentral:rRNA from 1 species